UACCAGCACCCCGAGUUGUCGGGACGAUUAUUGGGCCUAAAGCAUCCGUAGCCUGUUCUGCAAGUCCUCCGUUAAAUCCACCCGCUUAACGGAUGGGCCGCGGGGGAUACUGCAGAGCUAGGAGGCGGGAGAGGCAAACGGUACUCAGUGGGUAGGGGUAAAAUCCAUUGAUCUACUGAAGACCACCAGUGGCGAAGGCGGUUUGCCAGAACGCGCUCGACGGUGAGGGAUGAAAGCUGGGGGAGCAAACCGG
rnacentral:rRNA from 1 species